GGGCGGCUAGCUCAGCUGGAAGAGCAUCUCGUUUACACCGAGAGGGUCGGCGGUUCGAACCCGUCGCCGCCCA
rnacentral:tRNA from 1 species